rnacentral:rRNA from 1 species
UGGGGAAUAUUGCACAAUGGGCGCAAGCCUGAUGCAGCGACGCCGCGUGAGGGAUGACGGCCUUCGGGUUGUAAACCUCUUUCAGCUCCGACGAAGCGCAAGUGACGGUAGGAGCAGAAGAAGCACCGGCCAACUACGUGCCAGCAGCCGCGGUAAUACGUAGGGUGCAAGCGUUGUCCGGAAUUACUGGGCGUAAAGAGCUCGUAGGCGGUUUGUCGCGUCGUCUGUGAAAUUCUGCAGCUUAACUGCAGGCGUGCAGGCGAUACGGGCAGACUUGAGUACUACAGGGGAGACUGGAAUUCCUGGUGUAGCGGUGAAAUGCGCAGAUAUCAGGAGGAACACCGGUGGCGAAGGCGGGUCUCUGGGUAGUAACUGACGCUGAGGAGCGAAAGCGUGGGUAGCGAACAGGAUUAGAUACCCUGGUAGUCCACGCCGUAAACGGUGGGUACUAGGUGUGGGUUCCUUUUCACGGAAUCCGUGCCGUAGCUAACGCAUUAAGUACCCCGCCUGGGGAGUACGGCCGCAAGGCUA